GACGAACGCUGGCGGCGUGCUUAACACAUGCAAGUCGAACGGAAAGGCCCUGCUUUUGUUGGUUGCUCGUUUGGCGAACGGGUGUGUAUCACGUGAGUAACCUCCCCUUGUCUUUGGGAUAUCUUCAGGAAACUGGGGCUCAUAUCCGAUAUGAGCUCUUGCUGCAUGGUGGUGGUUGGAAAGUUUCGGCUGUUGUGGCUAGACUCGCUGCUUAUCCGCUUGUUGGUGGGGUAGUGGCUUACCAAGGCUUUGACGGGUAGCCGGCCUGGGAGGGGGAACGGCGACAAGGGGACUGAGGGAGGGAGCAGAAGCGUACGGGAGGCAGCAGGGGGAAGCAUUGCGGAGUAGGCGGACGCGAGAGACGAAAGUGCCCCGUGCGGGAUGACGGCCUUCGGGGUGAAAACAGCUUUCGACGGUAACGAAGAGGGAGUGACGGUAAUGGGUAAGAAAGCAACGGCUAACUACGUG
rnacentral:rRNA from 1 species